UUGCUUUGGCAGUACAUAUGCUAAAAUUGAAAUGAUACAGAGAAGAUUAACAUGGCCCCUGCACAAGGAUGACAUGCAAAUUCAUGAAGUGUUCCAUAUAUUA